CCACCAUUUACUCAGGUUUUCUGGUGCACA
rnacentral:piRNA from 1 species